CACAGAGGAGGUACACUGGCAAAGUAGUCACCUACUGGAUGACAUCAUACAAUAACCAUUGCCAGUCUGGCACCUCCUCACGAUAAAAGUGUCAGGAGCUAUUGACUGGAAAAUUCAUCAAUAGCCCCAGGACUUGUGGUGAGUCUGGAUACUCCACUUUCCCUAAGAUUAAAAACAGCAAAAAUAGGAGAAGUGGCACAGUGGGAAGUUUGCGUUACACUACUCACCUGGAAAUGCCAAUUCACACAGCUGUAACAUCGCAAUCACACAAUGCCAGUAGCUGUGCAAUGCCACCAAUCUCCAUGAUGGUCCUCUUUGUCACCAGGAUAAGCUCAGGAUGUUUGUUUAUUCAACUUGAGGCUGAGAGUCUGCCACUCCCAUGGAAGAGGGGGCUCAGAAAAUACAAAGUCAUUCACUAUCUAUACAGGAAUCUCCUCCUGCAGGCUGUGACAUCAAGGAACCCCCCCCCCUCCCCCUGAGCAAUCCGGGCACAGAUCCUGUCCCGCCUCUCUUUUCAGCCAACCAGUAGAAGACGUAGGAAGUCUUAAUAGUUGUCAGAAUUGAAUAAGAUGUCAUGUAUCUGUCUGUGAAUUUAUGCUUGUAACUUUAGAAGAGUAUUGCUUGUAUUUGCAUCCUUUUUGGUCAAAUUACAAAAAUCUGCUGUAAUUUGCCUUUAACUCGGCCAGCCUGUACUCUGUCCUGGUUGAUCUGGUUUAGCAAAGACUCACUGGUCACUGACCUCUCAAACCAUGGUCCUAGAUGAAAUCAUGACAAUUAUGAGGGGGAAUGGUUUGUUGCAGGCGAGGACCAUCAUUUCAUUUACAUUUUUAAUCACCAGGCUUCUAUAACAGGCCCAUAAAUCAGCCUAAAUAACUAUAAGUGUUCCUAUCUAAUGAGACCUUGCUAUACCAGCCUUGCAUACCAGUAUCCACAGAGCAUGAGAAGCAUAUAUGUGAACACGAACAUAGAUAGCUAAUACAUUGAUGCAAUACCAUAGUACAGAUGUGAUGUGGAUAUACACAAUAACAAUAUGUGUCUAUACAUAACAGCAAUAUCAUGUCCCCAAAAGAUGCAUGGCUGGAUUUAAGCAUAAGGACACUGAAGGAUCUUGCAUUAUGGGUCUUAGGUCACAUCUAAACAUGAACUGUAACACACACACACACACACACACACACAAAACUAUUUUCAAAACUCUGAUUUGCUUCAGGAAUGAAUUUUUAAAAAGAUUUUAAGAUGCCAAGAAGGGGAAAUGUCAGUGGGAAGAAGGGGAGAUGUCAGUGUGAGAAUAACAUAAUUAAUAUAUUUGGUCUUUGUAUUUCUGAAUUAGGUUGCGACAGUGCUACAAAAGGACUUUUCUAAGACAUUUUUGUUAUCUCUGUUUCCAAGCAAUAUGGAUUAUAUGUGUACAUGACCUAAUCCUUUUGUCUUUUAAGUUGGUGUUGGCUUCUUAUAAGUGACUGUGAAGACAUUUCACUUCGUCAUAGUAUCUCAUCCAAUUUAAACUCUUGAAGCAAUAAGAAAUCCACAAUGCAAUUAUUCUUUUUGUCUUUUGUAGUUUUUUUUUUGCAAUGCAUUGAACAUUGUGUCAAAAAUAAGAUCUAAUCUUUUGAAGACAUUCCUUCGGUUUACUUUUUCAUAGGACUUGAUCCAACUCACAUUUUAUUUACAUUAUACAAUCCACAAUACAAAUAUCUUUUUACCUCACAACCUCUGAGGAUGCCUGCCAUAGAUGUGGGUGAAACGUCAGGAGAGAAUACUUCUGGAACAUGGCCACACAGCCCGAAAAACAUACAACAACCCUAUCUUUUUAUCCUUUGAAAUUCCCUAAAACUUGCAAUGAUCUGAUUGUUGUCUCUGAUCAAGGGAAAAUACAAAAUUUUGUAUAGGAAGGGAUACAUGACACAAAAUAGAGGAUUUAAAAUUCUCCCACAUCUCCCAACAAGUCAUCAUCCAGCCUGUUCUUUUUGAAAUGUGUAUAUUUGGGGAAAGCAUUCAGAAUCUGGACAUUAUGAGAACUGUAUUAAAAUCAUGCCCACUUGACCCAAGAAAAUUUGCAAACUGAUUUGAAAACAAGUCAGGUGGAAUAUUUUGUUUAACCAAAAUUUUAAAAAUCUGUAUAAACCAAAAAAAGAGGUUUAUUGACCCUUAUUCAUAAUUCAUCCUUGAUAUCCCAGCAGAACUUGAAGGGCAGCUUUUCCAUCCGUACCUUGAAAACACUGUCAAACAUUUCACUCUGUGCCACUGUCAUUGUGUUUUUCCAGUCUCCAAUAGUACCUGGUGCAGAAGUCAGAAAGAAAUUGUUGAAAAUGAUGGUUAGCAUCUACUGUCCACAAAUGGGAUGAUGUAUGGCCAAAACCAUAAUCCUUACCAAGGGGAAGUGAUACUAUUUGGAAUGUCACUACCGUGCCACAACUUGUUGUCCCACAUUCCUUGUGAGAUCAAUUAGAGAUCAAUUACUGAGGACUGUAACAGGAGUUCCUGGGAUUUUCCAAAGUGUCUGAAAGUGACAAUUGCUCAUACAAAAUGCACAGAACCCAAAAUGUAUUAUUAUUAUUUUGUUAGGAUUCUUGUGUGGUUCAGAUAUUAAAUCUCUGUAUGUAGCAUAAGCAUUUCAGUUUUGAUGUACCACUUUGGAAACCAGGUUUUGGUUCUUCGCUUGGCCUUGGAAACACACUGAGUGACUUUGGGCAAAUCAUACACUCUCAGUCCCAGAAAUCCCUGUGAUAAGUUCGCUUUUGUGUUGCCAUAAAUCAGAAAUGACUUAAAGAUACAGAAUAACAAACAGCAUUUGUGGAGUCUUCAUAUUCUCCAGCCUAUCUUUUCGGGGUGAAAGGAGAAUGAAUUUUUGCUUCUGGAAGCCUUCUGAAAUGUCAGCUCAAUUCAAUUCAAACAAAUUUUAGUGCUGCCCUACACUUUUUAACAUAUUUUAAAAAAUGUUUCCCCCCGCCCUCCCCAAGCCAAAAGCACCUUUCAAGCCCUGCUUGCUGUUUGUUUAUUUUGGCAUUUUGGCACUUCAUGGAACUCCUGGAAGGUUCUGGGACAGAAAAUUGACUUCCAGA